rnacentral:rRNA from 1 species
UUCGCAAUGCCCGAAAGGGUGACGAUGCGACGCCGCGUGAGCGAAGAAGGCCCUAGGGUUGUAAAGCUCUGUCAGGGGUUAAGAAAUGUAAACAGGUUAAUACCCUGUUUAUUUGACAAAAGCCCCAAAGGAAGCCACGGCUAACUCUGUGCCAGCAGCCGCGGUAAUACAGAGGUGGCAAGCGUUGUUCGGUAUUAUUGGGCGUAAAGAGCACGUAGGUGGUUUUGUAAGUCAGAUGUGAAAGCCUUCUGUUCAAGGGAAGAACGGCAUCUGAAACUGCAAAUCUUGAGUGUAGGAGGGGAGAGUGGAACUUCUGGUGGAGCGGUGAAAUGCGUAGAUAUCAGAAGGAACGUCGGCGGCGAAAGCGACUCUCUGGCCUAUUACUGACACUGAGUGUGCGAAAGUUAGGGGAGCAAACGGGAUUAGAUACCCCGGUAGUCCUAACCGUAAACGAUGGGCACUAAGUAGAGGGGUUUU